rnacentral:tRNA from 1 species
CUGUCUCAAAUUUAUUCCCCCCCCCCAAAAAAAAUAAAUCAUUCUUGAUCUAAAGUAAAUGCGAUUGAAA